UACAGAGGGUGCUAGCGUUGUUCGGAAUCAUUGGGCGUAAAGGGCGUGUAGGCGGUUUGUUAAGUCAUGUGUGAAAUCCCUCGGCUCAACCGGGGAACGACGCAUGAAACUGGCAAGCUAGAGUACCAAAGAGGGGGGUGGAAUUCCCGGUGUAGCGGUGAAAUGCGUAGAUAUCAGGAGGAACACCGGUGGCGAAGGCGGGACUCUGGGCCGAUACUGACGCUGAGGAGCGAAAGCGUGGGGAGCAAACAGG
rnacentral:rRNA from 1 species